CCUCGGGUGGCAGCAGUGGGGAAUAUUGCACAAUGGGGGAAACCCUGAUGCAGCGACGCCGCGUGAGUGAAGAAGUAAUUCGUUACGUAAAGCUCUAUCAGCCGGGAAGAAAAUGACGGUACCUGAGUAAGAAGCCCCGGCUAACUACGUGCCAGCAGCCGCGGUAAUACGUAGGGUGCAAGCGUUAUCCGGAUUUACUGGGUGUAAAGGGAGCGUAGACGGUGCGCCAAGUCUGGGGUGAAAUGCCUGAGCUUAACUGCGGAACUGCUUUUGAAACUGGCUAACUGGAGUGCGGGAGGGGUUAGCGGAAUGCCUAGUGUAGCGGUGAAAUGCGUAGAUAUUAGGAGGAACACCGGUGGCGAAGGCGGCUUACUGGAACGUAACUGACGUUGAGGCUCGAAAGCGUGGGGAGCAAACAGGAUUAGAUACCCGAGUAGUC
rnacentral:rRNA from 1 species